UUAGCUUAGUUGGUAGUGCGUCUGCCUUGUAAGCGCUAGGCCGCGGGUUCGAUUCCCGCA
rfam:Asian citrus Psyllid, Diaphorina citri - Florida Strain, whole genome shotgun sequence.